GUCUCUCCAGAGCGGCUAGUCGUUCUGGAGUCGCGAGGUAGAGGCAUACUACUUCUCAUCUCAAAUAAAGUCGAUCUUGGCUGAGAGGUUACAUCGACUGUAUAUAAACACACAUUUGACGGCGCCUGUCAUUAUACACAUGUCACACGUGAGAGGAGGUCUUCGCGACGCAAAAGGCUGAACGUUCUCGAGCACUGUGGUUAGCCGAAAUAACCUCAUGUUCCGUGCAAUGCACUACAAAGAAUUCAAGCAACGUAUUCGCAGACAACUUGGUAUGAAAAAACAUAGAAUUCUACGAGAACACGCUUCCAUAUUAGAGCGAAACACGUACCCUAGCAACCGACGUAUAGAGAAAACACAAGUUAAACGCGAAACAGAAGAAACUCAAGCGAAGACUCAUGACGCUAGAUGCGUACAACAAAACAACCAUGUCCAAAAG